rfam:Triticum aestivum genome assembly, contig: Triticum_aestivum_CS42_TGACv1_scaffold_579627_7BL
CUUGUACUCCCUCCGUCCGAAAAUACUUGUCAUUGAAAUGGAUGUAUCUAGAUGUAUUUUAAUUCUAGACAUCCAUUUUGAUGACAAGUAAUUCCGGAUGGAGGGAGUACUUG